AUUGAACGCUGGCGGCAGGCCUAACACAUGCAAGUCGAACGAGUGGCGGACGGGUGAGUAAUGUCUGGGAAACUGCCCGAUGGGGGGGGAUAACUACAGGAAACAGUAGCUAAUACCGCAUACCAUCGGAUGUGCCCCGAUGGGAUUAGCUAGUAGGUGGGGUAACGGCUCACCUAGGCGACGAGCCCUAGCUGGGCUGAGAGGAUGACCAGCCACACUGGAACUGAGACACGGUCCAUACUCCGACGGGAGGCAGCAGUGGGGAAUAUUGCACAAUGGGCGCAAGCCGGAUGCAGCCAUGCCGCGUGUAUGAAGAAGGCCUUCGGGUUGUAAAGUACUUUCAGCGAGGAGGCGUUACUCGCAGAAGAAGCACCGGCUAACUCCGUGCCAGCAGCCGCGGUAAUAC
rnacentral:rRNA from 1 species